UAGCCGGUGAAAGUCCGGUCCCGGUAGUCGCCAAGGAGCCGGGUAGCAAAUCCCAGUGCGUCGCAGAAAUGCGGGGUGCCAAGCGGGAGGAUAACGUACCUGUAAAUUAGACAGGGCAAGCAAGGAUGCUGGUCGUAACAUAA
rfam:Clostridia bacterium BRH_c25 BRHa_1002286, whole genome shotgun sequence.